AUUGAACGCUGGCGGCAUGCUUUACACAUGCAAGUCGAACGGUAACAGGCCUUCGGGUGCUGACGAGUGGCGAACGGGUGAGUAAUGCAUCGGAACGUGCCCAAUCGUGGGGGAUAACGUAGCGAAAGUUACGCUAAUACCGCAUAAGCCCUGAGGGGGAAAGUGGGGGACCGCAAGGCCUCACGCGAAUGGAGCGGCCGAUGUCAGAUUAGCUAGUUGGUGGGGUAAAGCCCACCAAGGCGACGAUCUGUAGCGGGUCUGAGAGGAUGAUCCGCCACACUGGAACUGAGACACGGUCCAGACUCCUACGGGAGGCAGCAGUGGGGAAUUUUGGACAAUGGGGGCAACCCUGAUCCAGCCAUGCCGCGUGAGUGAAGAAGGCCU
rnacentral:rRNA from 1 species